rnacentral:rRNA from 1 species
UAGGGAAUCUUCGGCAAUGGACGAAAGUCUGACCGAGCAACGCCGCGUGAGUGAAGAAGGUUUUCGGAUCGUAAAACUCUGUUGUUAGAGAAGAACAAGGACGUUAGUAACUGAACGUCCCCUGACGGUAUCUAACCAGAAAGCCACGGCUAACUACGUGCCAGCAGCCGCGGUAAUACGUAGGUGGCAAGCGUUGUCCGGUUUUAUUGGGCGUAAAGCGAGCGCAGGCGGUUUCUUAAGUCUGAUGUGAAAGCCCCCGGCUCAACCGGGGAGGGUCAUUUGAAACUGGGGGACUUGAGUGCAGAAGAGGAGAGUGGAAUUCCGUGUGUAGCGGUGAAAUGCGUAGAUAUAUGGAGGAACACCAGUGGCGAAGGCGGCUCUCUGGUCUGUAACUGACGCUGAGGCUCGAAAGCGUGGGGAGCAAACAGG